rnacentral:misc_RNA from 1 species
AGGAGCCCUGUGCGAGAAAACCGCACGCAGGGAUCUGUGAGAGGGCGGUCGGGUAACUGGCUGGUCUAUCUUAAU